rnacentral:rRNA from 1 species
UCUGGUGCCAGCAGCCGCGGUAAUUCCAGCUCUGAUAGUAUAUAUUAAAGUUGUUGCAGUUAAAAAGCUCGUAGUUGAAACUUGGGUGUGUAGGGGCGGUCUCUUUUAGAGUACUACCCUGAAACAUCUUUCUUUGGUGUAAACUCUUUAUUCACUUAAGGAGUGUAAACCAAACAUUUACUUUGAAAAAAUUAGAGUGUUCAAAGCAGGCCUUUGCUCGAAUAUAUUAGCAUGGAAUAAUAGAAUAGGACGUAUGGUUCUAUUUUGUUGGUUUCUAGGACCGUCGUAAUGAUUAAUAGGGACGGUCGGGGGCAUCAGUAUUCAGUUGUCAGAGGUGAAAUUCUUGGAUUUACUGAAGACUAACUACUGCGAAAGCAUUUGCCAAGGACGUUUUCAUUAAUCAAGAACGAAAGUUAGGGGAUCGAAGACGAUCAGAUACCGUCGUAGUCUUAACCGUAAACUAUGCCGACUAGGGAUCGGAGGGCGUUAUAAUAACCUCUCCGGCACCUUACGAGAAAUCAAAGUUUUUGGGUUCUGGGGGGAGUAUGGUUGCAAGGCUGAAACUUAAAGGAAUUGACGGAAGGGCACCACCAGGAGUGGAGCCUGCGGCUUAAUUUGACCCAACACGGGGAAACUCACCAGGUCCAGACACAAUAAGGAUUGACAGAUUGAGAGCUCUUUCAUGAUUUUGUGGGUGGUGGUGCAUGGCCGUUCUUAGUUGGUGGAGUGAUUUGUCUGCUUAAUUGCGAUAACGAACGAGACCUUAACCUGCUAAAUAGCUGUAACAAUAGAUUAUUGUUUUGACAGCUUCUUAGAGGGACUAUCGAUUUUCAAGUCGAUGGAAGUUUGAGGCAAUAACAGGUCUGUGAUGCCCUUAGACGUUCUGGGCCGCACGCGCGCUACACUGACGGAGCCAGCGAGUCUAACCUGUGCCGAGAGGUAUGGGUAAUCUUGUGAAACUCCGUCGUGCUGGGGAUAGAGCAUUGCAAUUAUUGCUCUUCAACGAGGAAUUCCUAGUAAGCGCAAGUCAUCAGCUUGCGUUGAUUACGUCCCUGCCCUUUGUACACACCGCCCGUCGCUACUACCGAUUGAAUGGCUUAGUGAGGCUUCCGGAUUGAUUAACUGGAGAGGGCAACUUUUCUGGUUGAACGAGAAGCUAGUCAAACUUGGUCAUUUAGA